AAGAUGUGUGGCGGGGGUGGGGGGUUUUUGGUGUGAAAAGCGGGGAUUUUGGCGCACCGUGGUUUUAUUAUACUGACGCCGUGGGCCAGGGGACGACGGUCACCGUGUCCUCAGGCCGCUCCAGCGCUCCCGUCCUCUUCCCGCUGCUCUCCUGCGGCACGUUGGAGAACACCGACCUCUACUCGGUGGCCUGCCUCGCCGUGGACUUCCUGCCCGACGAGCUGCUCUUCUCCUGGAGCGACCACGCCAACCAGAGCGUCUCCGGCGGCGUCUCCACCUUCCCGUCGGCCUCCGUCCGCGACGGCCUCUACACGGCCGCCAGCCGCUUGGCGCUGCCCUUGGACGAGGGCAAGAGCCAGGAGCCCUUCUACUGCCGGGCCCGGCACCCCGAGGGCGACCGCUACUUGGAGCUCACCAACCCCGGGUCCGUCGUGCCGCCCACGUUGGACGUGAGCCUCCACCCGCCGUCCCGCGAGGAGUUCGAGGGCCCGUUCCGCAACGCGACGGCGCUGUGCCGCGUGGUGUCGCCGCGCCGGCAGCCCGUGGAGCUGCGCUGGCUGAAGAACGGGGCGCCCCAGCAGGCCGGCGUGGCCACGCAGGGCCCCACGGCCGACGGCCACGGCGCCUACGUCACCCACAGCAGCCUGGCCGUGGCCGCGGCCGACUGGGACGCCGGCGCCGUCUACACGUGCGACGUGGAGGGCGACAUGAGGAACACCAGCAAGGCCCUCGAGUGCGGCUUUGACCGCCCGCAGGACACCGAGAUCGCCACCACGGUGGUGCCGCCGGCCUUCGCCGACAUCUUCGUGGACAAGGUGGCCAAGCUGACGUGCCGCGUGCUCAACCUGCCCAACGCCGAGGGGCUGCUCAUCUCCUGGCGCAAGGAGGCCGGCGCCGAGCUGGAGACCAAGGUCUCGCCGCGGGUGCUGCAGCCCAACGGGCUCUACAGCGUGGACGGCGUGGCCAGCGUGUGCGCCGACGAGUGGGACAAGGGCGACGCCUACGUGUGCCGCGUGAGCCACCCCGACCUGGUCUUCCCCGUGGAGGAGAGGCUGCAGAAGAAGAAUGACGCCCACGCCMAGGCGCCCUCCAUCUACACGUUCCCGCCGCCGGCCGAGCAGCUCUCCCUGCGCGAGACGGCCACCGUGGGCUGCCUGGUGCAGGGCUUCAGCCCCCCGGACGUGCUGGUGCGCUGGCUCCGCAACGGGCUCCCGGCGCCGGCCGCCGCCGCCGUCACCACGCCGCCCGCCUUGGAAGGGCCCGCCGCCCGGCUCUACUUCUCCUACAGCGCCCUCAGCGUCCCCGCCGAGGACUGGGCGGCGGGCAACGUCUACACGUGCGUCGUGGGCCACGAGAAGCUGCCCUUGCAGGUGGCGCAGAAGUCGGUGGACAAGUCCUCGGGUAAACCCACCUCGGUCAACGUGUCGCUGGUGCUGUCGGACGCCGCCGCCGCCUGCUAUUAG